UGGGGAAUAUUGGACAAUGGGGGCAACCCUGAUCCAGCAAUGCCGCGUGUGUGAAGAAGGCCUUCGGGUUGUAAAGCACUUCUAUCCGGAACGAAACGCGCAGGGCGAAUACCCUUGCGAACUGACGGUACCGGAGGAAUAAGCACCGGCUAACUUCGUGCCAGCAGCCGCGGUAAUACGAAGGGUGCAAGCGUUACUCGGAAUUACUGGGCGUAAAGCGUGCGUAGGUGGUUUGUUAAGUCUGCUGUGAAAGCCCCGGGCUCAACCUGGGAAUGGCAGUGGAUACUGGCAAGCUAGAGUGCGGUAGAGGGUAGUGGGAUUGCCGGUGUAGCGGUGAAAUGCGUAGAGAUCGGGAGGAACACCAGUGGCGAAGGCGGCUACCUGGACCAGCACUGACACUCAGGCACGAAAGCGUGGGGAGCAAAC
rnacentral:rRNA from 1 species